CAACAGUGUCACAAAAUAAUUCAAACAAUAGAUAGAGAGGUGACAUGAAAGAGAGUGCAACGGUGUAAAAGCUAUAGCAGAUAGAGAUUUUACUCUGUUAUGUGGACAACAUCUACACACUUUUUUUCAUAGCAGGUCAAACUCAAAAAAUAGAACUAAUAAUAGUAGUUUAUUCUUAUAAUCAAUAUGAUUGUGUUUCCAAUUUUCAAUCUUUUGACAGCAUUUCUAGGCAUGAACUGUGCAAAAUAGGCACAAUUGAAAGGCAACUAAAGACACUUGAAGAGAGAGAAACAAAGAGAAUAAGAAGCAAAGGACGAACUUGAAAAGCAAGGAGCUGAGCUCACUGAGUAUUGCUCGAGAAACAUUCUUGCACUGGGAAGGAUGAACAUAAACUAGCAAAUUAGUACAUGACACGCUCAAUCCCUCCAUCUACAAUCGAAUCGGACAAAGUUUUGCACUUUCGCAAUCUGGAAUUAGGGUUCUUACAACAGCGGCAAAGUAAACAACGGUGGUUGUAGGGUUUUCUUUACUUUUCUUUUUUUUUUUUUUUCAAUUGAAUUUGUUAACCAGUAACCAGAGUUUCGCGUGAUCAACUAUUGUUAUGGGCCUUGAAGCUUGUAAUUUUAAGCCCAAAUAAAUUAAGUUAGAGGCCCGAUUAAUAUUUGUCUGUUAUUGUAAUUUAACUGAUUCCCUCUUAUUGAAAAAAAAAAGAAAAAAAAAAAAAA